rnacentral:lncRNA from 1 species
CUGUGAAUUUGCAAGGAUUAUCGCCAUUCCAUGUGCCUGUGAUGUUAUCUGGAUCCACCCCGAUGAGCUUUUGGAACCUUUUAAUUACCCUGAGGGCAAUUGCAAGUCUCUCGUUCGGUGGUGCCGGAGCGGGUGGUCGUGGCGGUAGUGGUGGUGGUGGGGACGGAGGUAGUGGUGGUGGACGUGGCGGCGGCGGUGGUGGUGGGGACGGAGGUGGUGGUGGUGGAGGUGACGGUGGUGGCGGUGACGGGGAUGGUGGCGGUGGGCAAGGAGGAGGGGGAGGGGGAGGGCAGUCUACGUAUUCAGGGGAGGGAGCGUAUUCGGGGGAGGGAGCGUAUUCGGGGGAGGGAGCAGGGGGGCUGUAGCUGCCGCCACCACCACCGAUGAUUAUUUCCAAAGCUUCUCUUUCAGCACAUUCAACUACAUCAUGUUGC